GUCCACGCUGUAAACGAUGGGCACUAGGUGUCGCGGGUAUUGACCCCUGCGGUGCCGUAGCAAACGCGUUAAGUGCCCCGCCUGGGGAGUACGGCCGCAAGGCUAAAACUCAAAGGAAUUGACGGGGGCCCGCACAAGCGGUGGAGCAUGUGGUUUAAUUCGACGCAACGCGCAGAACCUUACCCGGGCUAGAAAACAGGAACCUUCCAGAGAUGGAGGGGUCCCGCAAGGGAAUCUUGGUCCAGGUGCUGCAUGGCUGUCGU
rnacentral:rRNA from 1 species